GGCUUUGUCAAGUGAGAUACAAAACCCUAUAGUAGGAGUCCCCCAAGUUGCUGAGCUAGGAGAUUUGACGAAAGAGGUAACAGACAAGGUAAGCAAUCAGACUUCCAAGCAAGCAACCUGGAUCAGAGGUUCGACUUUGGCUUCCGGUUGAUUGUUCUCCUUUUCCUUGUGUCGUAAACAACAACAAGGAUAAGGAGAAGUAAAUGGAGAAGAGAUGAUAUGAGAUACUUUUGCUUUUGAAGAAGUAACUUUCCACAGGCUUAUUCUUGAAC
rnacentral:lncRNA from 1 species